CUCGAUAAUGGCAAACCAGAAGCGAUUCUGGGGCGCAAAGUCACAGGUCCCUUGUGGAUGGCUGGGCUACCGAAA
rfam:Oceanospirillum sp. MED92 scf_1099521380391 genomic scaffold, whole genome shotgun sequence.